AGUCGAACGGCAGCACGGAGCUUGCUCUGGUGGCGAGUGGCGAACGGGUGAGUAAUAUAUCGGAACGUACCCUAGAGUGGGGGAUAACGUAGCGAAAGUUACGCUAAUACCGCAUACGAUCUAAGGAUGAAAGUGGGGGAUCGCAAGACCUCAUGCUCGUGGAGCGGCCGAUAUCUGAUUAGCUAGUUGGUAGGGUAAAAGCCUACCAAGGCAUCGAUCAGUAGCUGGUCUGAGAGGACGACCAGCCACACUGGAACUGAGACACGGUCCAGACUCCUACGGGAGGCAGCAGUGGGGAAUUUUGGACAAUGGGCGAAAGCCUGAUCCAGCAAUGCCGCGUGAGCGAAGAAGGCCUUCGGGUUGUAAAGCUCUUUUGUCAGGGAAGAAACGGUGAGAGCUAAUAUCUCUUGCUAAUGACGGUACCUGAAGAAUAAGCACCGGCUAACUACGUGCCAGCAGCCGCGGUAAUACGUAGGGUGCAAGCGUUAAUCGGAAUUACUGGGCGUAAAGCGUGCGCAGGCGGUUUUGUAAGUCUGAUGUGAAAUCCCCGGGCUCAACCUGGGAAUUGCAUUGGAGACUGCAAGGCUAGAAUCUGGCAGAGGGGGGUAGAAUUCCACGUGUAGCAGUGAAAUGCGUAGAUAUGUGGAGGAACACCGAUGGCGAAGGCAGCCCCCUGGGUCAAGGUUGACGCUCAUGCACGAAAGCGUGGGGAGCAAACAGGAUUAGAUACCCUGGUAGUCCACGCCCUAAACGAUGUCUACUAGUUGUCGGGUCUUAAUUGACUUGUUAACGCAGCUAACGCGUGAAGUAGACCGCCUGGGGAGUACGGUCGCAAGAUUAAAACUCAAAGGAAUGACG
rnacentral:rRNA from 1 species